UACUUAGGGGGCAAGCGUUGUCCGGAAUCAUUGGGCGUAAAGAGCGUGUAGGCGGCUCGGUAAGUCCGCUCUGAAAGCCCGGGGCUCAACCCCGGGAGGCGGGCGGAUACUGUCGAGCUAGAGUCCGGAAGAGGCGAGUGGAAUUCCUGGUGUAGCGGUGAAAUGCGCAGAUAUCAGGAGGAACACCAAUGGCGAAGGCAGCUCGCUGGGACGGUACUGACGCUGAGACGCGAAAGCGUGGGGAGCAAACAGG
rnacentral:rRNA from 1 species